rnacentral:snoRNA from 1 species
AAGAUGUCAUGAUGAUUACAUAGUUCACAUGACGUAUUGUUUGAUUAAUAUGUCGCCCCUAACUGAGACAUCUC